rnacentral:rRNA from 1 species
UACAGAGACUGCAAGCGUUAUUCGGAUUCACUGGGCGUAAAGGGUGCGCAGGCGGUUGUUUGUGUCAGGUGUGAAAGCCCGGGGCUUAACCCCGGAAUUGCGCCUGAAACUACAUGACUAGAGCAUUGGAGAGGGUAGCGGAAUUCACGGUGUAGCAGUGAAAUGCGUAGAUAUCGUGAGGAACACCAGAGGCGAAGGCGGCUACCUGGACAAUUGCUGACGCUCAGGCACGAAAGCGUGGGGAGCAAAAGGG